CCUACGGGAGGCAGCAGUGAGGAAUAUUGGUCAAUGGACGAGAGUCUGAACCAGCCAAGUAGCGUGAAGGAUGACUGCCCUAUGGGUUGUAAACUUCUUUUAUAUGGGAAUAAAAUGUUCCACGUGUGGGAUUUUGUAUGUACCAUAUGAAUAAGGAUCGGCUAACUCCGUGCCAGCAGCCGCGGUAAUACGGAGGAUCCGAGCGUUAUCCGGAUUUAUUGGGUUUAAGGGGAGCGUAGGUGGAUUGUUAAGUCAGUUGUGAAAGUUUGCGGCUCAACCGUAAAAUUGCAGUUGAAACUGGCAGGCUUGAGUACAGUAGAGGUGGGCGGAAUUCGUGGUGUAGCGGUGAAAUGCUUAGAUAUCACGAAGAACUCCGAUUGCGAAGGCAGCUCACUGGACUGCAACUGACACUGAGGCUCGAAAGUGUGGGUAUCAAACAGGAUUAGAUACCCCAGUAGUC
rnacentral:rRNA from 1 species